GAUGAACGCUGGCGGCGUGCCUAAUACAUGCAAGUCGAGCGAACAGACGAGGAGCUUGCUCCUCUGACGUUAGCGGCGGACGGGUGAGUAACACGUGGAUAACCUACCUAUAAGACUGGGAUAACUUCGGGAAACCGGAGCUAAUACCGGAUAACAUGUUGAACCGCAUGGUUCAACAGUGAAAGACGGUCUUGCUGUCACUUAUAGAUGGAUCCGCGCCGCAUUAGCUAGUUGGUAAGGUAACGGCUUACCAAGGCAACGAUGCGUAGCCGACCUGAGAGGGUGAUCGGCCACACUGGAACUGAGACACGGUCCAGACUCCUACGGGAGGCAGCAGUAGGGAAUCUUCCGCAAUGGGCGAAAGCCUGACGGAGCAACGCCGCGUGAGUGAAGAAGGUCUUCGGAUCGUAAAACUCUGUUAUUAGGGAAGAACAAAUGUGUAAGUAACCAUGCACGUCUUGACGGUACCUAAUCAGAAAGCCACGGCUAACUACGU
rnacentral:rRNA from 1 species